GCAGAGCCAUGCCCUUCGGUGCCUUUCUAGGAAGCGAAACUCUAUUACUUUAACCACCCCAUGACCCUUCCAGCUCUACUGUACUCAUCCGGAAGCCGGAGAAAACCGGGAAAAAAAAACAAUUUAGGCGGUUUUUAAAAAUAUCGGGGACUUUGGCAGCCAUGUUCAUCAGGAUUAAUUUGUGUGGACCGGUGGUGUGAGAAAGCAAGAGGCACAAAUUACAGGGUUAAAAAGCUGGUGAGCUUGGAGGAGGUGGCUGUAUAUUUCACCAUGGAACAGUGGACAUUGCUGGAUCCAUGGUGUCAUGGAAGCUAAACUGGAAGAAUGUAAUGUGCCUGGGUGGAGAACCCAUGACCCUCCCAGUGAAUUAUCAUUCCAUAUCAUCUCCCACCGUUGGCUGACGGAAACCGGGGUCCAAGAAUAUGUGAAGACUUCUAUGUCUUGAAAUGCAAAGUAACUUGUUUUUAGGUUUUUAGAAGUAAACGUAAGCAAGACCAAGUCACUUUGUGGUCUGUGUGUGUGUUGAAGUCUUGAUUGAUGGAGUUCUGUGUUUUUGUUUGUUCGUUUCUUUCUUUUGCUCCUUUUUCCAACUCUGCAGAGUUCAAAUAAACUUUGAAUGUUAAUGAUAAAUGCA
rnacentral:lncRNA from 1 species